rnacentral:rRNA from 1 species
CCUACGGGGAGCAGCAGUGGGGAAUAUUGCACAAUGGGGGAAACCCUGAUGCAGCGACGCCGCGUGAGUGAAGAAGUAUCUCGGUACGUAAAGCUCUAUCAGCAGGGAAGAUAAUGACGGUACCUGACCCAGAAGCCCCGGCUAACUACGUGACAGCAGCCGGGGGAAUACGUAGGGGGCAAGCGUUAUACGGAUUUACUGGGUGUAAAGGGAGCGUAGACGGCAGCACAAGUCUGGAGUGAAAUCCCGGGGCUUAACCCCGGAACUGCUGUGGAAACUGGGCGGCUGGAGUGCAGGAGGGGUAAGCGGAAUGCCUGGUGUAGCGGUGAAAUGCGUAGAUAUUAGGAGGAACACCGAUGGCGAAGGCGGCGUACUGGACUGAAACUGACGUUGAGGCUCGAAAGCGUGGGGAGCAAACAGGAUUAGAUACCCGAGUAGUC